rnacentral:rRNA from 1 species
UACGGAGGGUGCAAGCGUUAUCCGGAUUCACUGGGUUUAAAGGGUGCGUAGGUGGGCAGGUAAGUCAGUGGCGAAAUCUCCGAGCUUAACUCGGAAACUGCCGUUGAUACUAUUUGUCUUGAAUAUUGUGGAGGUAAGCGGAAUAUGUCAUGUAGCGGUGAAAUGCUUAGAUAUGACAUAGAACACCAAUUGCGAAGGCAGCUUACUACACAACGAUUGACGCUGAGGCACGAAAGCGUGGGGAGCAAACAGG